UACGUAGGCAGCGAGCGUUGUUCGGAGUUACUGGGCGUAAAGCGUGCGCAGGCGGUUUUUUAAGUCAGAUGUGAAAUCCCCGGGCUUAACCUGGGAACUGCGUUUGAAACUGGAAGGCUUGAGUGUGGCAGAGGGGGGUGGAAUUCCACGUGUAGCAGUGAAAUGCGUAGAGAUGUGGAGGAACACCGAUGGCGAAGGCAGCCCCCUGGGCUAACACUGACGCUCAUGCACGAAAGCGUGGGGAGCAAACAGG
rnacentral:rRNA from 1 species